GUGAGUACCGGCGCGGGCCUGCCAUCCUUCCGGGGGCGCGCGCCUACCCUUCGCUGGGCCGGGCGCGCCACCCGGAUCGUUUACUUUGAAAAAAUUAGAGUGUUUAAAAGCAGGCGUCGCCGCUCUGAAUACAUUAGCAUGGAAUAAUAGGAUAGGACUUGGGUCCAUUUUAUUGGUUAUUGGACCAUAGUAAUGAUUAAUAGGGACAGUUGGGGGCAUUAGUAUUUAAUUGUCAGAGGUGAAAUUCUUGGAUUUAUUAAAGACUAACUUAUGCGAAAGCAUUUGCCAAGGAUGUUUUCAUUAAUCAAGAACGAAAGUUAGGGGAUCAAAGACGAUCAGAUACCGUCCUAGUCUUAACUAUAAACUAUACCGACUAGGGAUUGGUUGGGUCAUUAGAGCCCAAUCAGCACCUUAUGAGAAAUCAAAGUCUUUGGGUUCUUGGGGGGGAGUAUGGUCGCAAGGCUGAAACUUAAAGGAAUUGACGGAA
rnacentral:rRNA from 1 species